rnacentral:misc_RNA from 1 species
GAUGAAGAACGUAGCGAAAUGCGAUAAGUAAUGUGAAUUGCAGAAUUCAGUGAAUCAUCGAAUCUUUGAACGCACAUUGCGCCCCCUGGUAUUCCGGGGGGCAUGCCUGUCCGAGCGUCAUUACAACCCUCAAGCUCAGCUUGGUGUUGGGCCCCGCCGCCCCGGCGGGCCCUAGAGUCAGUGGCGGUGCCGUCCGGCUCCGAGCGUAGUAAUUCUUCUCGCUCUGGAGGUCCGGUCGUGUGCUCGCCAGCAACCCCCAAUUUUUUUCAGGUUGACCUCGGAUCAGGUAGGGAUACCCGCUGAACUUAAGCAUAUCAAUAAGCGGAGGA